rnacentral:rRNA from 1 species
GGCCCAGAUCGUUUACCGUGAAAAAAUUAGAGUGUUCAAAGCAGGCAGAUCCAAUUUUCUGCCACCGAAUACAUUAGCAUGGGAUAAUGGAAUAGGACCCUGUCCUCCUAUUUUCAGUUGGUUUUGGCAGCGCGAGGACUAGGGUAAUGAUUAAUAGGGAUAGUUGGGGGCAUUAAUAUUUAAUUGUCAGAGGUGAAAUUCUUGGAUUUAUGAAAGAUUAACUUCUGCGAAAGCAUCUGCCAAGGAUGUUUUCAUUAAUCAAGAACGAAAGUUAGGGGAUCGAAGACGAUCAGAUACCGUCGUAGUCUUAACCAUAAACGAUGCCGACCAGCGAUUAGGAGACGUUGAAUACAAAACACCACCAUCGGUGCGGUCGUCCUUGGCGUCUCGGUCCUUCACGGGGCCGGGGCGCGGGGGUGGCUUAGCCCGGUGGCACCGGUGAAUGACUCCCCUAGCAGCUUGUGAGA